rnacentral:lncRNA from 1 species
GUGCUUUUGUGAUUACAGAAGCAAUAAGCGAGGACUGCAAGUUUCUCUGUGGGUUCUGGCCAUACCUAGAAGGGAGCCACUGAUGUCUAGAGAAGCAAAUGUUCAUCUACUCCCCUGCGAUGUACUUACACCCCUAAAUAGAGUUGAGACUUGGUCUCAACUCCAAAACACAAAUCGUCGCUGGACACUGCCAUACUGAAGCAAGAUGCCUCUCACUGCCAGCAUCAAAACAAAUUUCUCUCUUCAAAUACACAUUUUCCUGGACAGAAGACAUUAUUUAUGAUGGAAGCCUGCUGGAAGGAGAAGAGACUUUUUCCUGGCUCCCAGACAGCUAUGGAUCUGUCUGGGCUGUCAGGGAAUGACUUCCCUACAGACGAAUAUCAAGAUAACCAUACCUCAUGUGCAGUCUGGCAGAGGGGGGUGGGGGUGGGGGAGAAACACACAGAGAGAAACACACAGACAGAGAAACAGAGAGACAGACAGACCAAGAGACCAGAUGACAUUUCACCAAAUGAUCCUAUAUUGAAAGGGAAGGCAUCUUGUUCUGAACGACUGAAUGAUGAUUUCUUCAUAGCUCAAGACUUCUAGAGAAAAAAAGGAAAGAGCUUAGCUAGAAGAGCACUGAGAUAUCUAAUCACACUGCUCAAGUGCCUGUGAUAUUUUCACACCUGGAAAUUAGAAAAUAAUUAAGAAAAAAGACGGCUCCAAUGUUCAACUAGAUAGGCCUUAAAAUAUUUCCUUAAAGGUCAGUUUCAAAUUGCAGAAUAUAUUUCUACAAUAAAAUCACAAAACUAAUCGGUUAUUAUUUACAAUUUUAUAUAUACAUAAAAUAAUUUUUGUUAAAAUUUUUAUUUAUUUACUUAUUUUAUAUAUGUGAGUACACUGUAGCUAUCUUCAGAUACACCAGAAGAGGGCAUCGGAUCCCAUUACAGAUGGUUGUGAGCCACCAUGUGGUUGCUGGGAAUUGAACUCAGGACCUCUGGAAGAGCAGUCAGUGCUCUUAACUCUUGAGCCAUCUCUCCAGCCCUAUAAAUGAAAUUUUUAAAGGAAAUCCUCAUCUUUAAAUGGAUUUUUACCAUUAAAGCACCAGCCCAGCUACCUUGCUGCACUCCCAGAGGCAGCCGAAUGGAAAACGUUUGUUUCCGGUCAUGUUCCGAUUAGAGUUAUGAGACUGCCGCCUUUACCCCAUGCCUAAAGCACAAUCUCGAAUCCAAGGCCACUUCUGAGUGUCAGCAUCUGAGGAGUUCCACAGCCAGGUAUGCUGAUCCUUACUGAUUAUGACAUGCAGCUAUUCGGAUGAAUCAUCUUCUAACAUAGCUGAUUACGUUUUCACACUGAAGGCUACUGCAUCUCGCCACACUGUGCAACGCUGAAGGUGGGUUUGCUGGGACCAUCUCGCCAAGGCUGAGUUCUUUCAAUUGCCCUCUAACUAUGAGAGGCAUUUUGUACUAAAGACAACCACUAAGGCAAAGUGAUCGGUCGAUUCCUCUCUCAUGGCCAGAUGUGCUUUCUUGAGAGGGACACACUGAGAGUACCCCAUGAACAGGUCCCAGGAGAGGCCCAGGCAAGGGCAGUGAAAGCCAGCAGUCUGUCCUCCUCACUGUCGUGGUAGGAAGAGCUGAGGCAGGCGUGGUCCAGAUCAGGCCACAUAGCCCAUGUGCUUCUCUCUGAGGAGACAUCCCUGUCAUUUGCUGUUGUGUUCGCUGUCGUUGCUGGAGCCACGGAGUCACUCCAGAAGUAGGUGCCUCACAGAGAGACCCAGAUAAAACAGCAAAGCCUCUACGAGGUGCUGACCUCACUGCCGCUGCUGGCAGUGACCGGAAGUGAGCGGGAGCUCUGAGACUCUGUGGAACUUUCGGACACCAUCCUGGGUCAUAGAGUACUCAGAGUCAUUGGUUCCAAUCAGUCCCCAUUGGCCAGCAUUGCGGAGCCUCAAAUGUGGUCCAAGCACACGCUCCUGGGUCCCCCCCAUAUCACUUCAGUCUGCAAGAAGGUGGCAUGGCAUGGAGCUGGGAUGUUCAGGGUUCACUGUUGACCCAGCUUUCAGAAAUCCAGUUGGAGAUGCGAUCAUAAAUAAAAAGCGAACCCAUAUGGCUUUGUGUGGCCACAAAAAAUCCGAUGAAAAGCAUCCUAAGAGCAUGAUGGGAAAUAUGAUAUGGGCCAGAUACUAAAUAAAAGACAACGGCUUG